UUGAAAAGCUGCUGGGCUGGCGAGAGUGAAUGUAAUUGUGCCGACAGGAAUGUGCAAGUCGUGGAUACGGAAGAGAACAAUGGAAGUACAUAAGUGCUGAGGGAAGAAAUGGCGUCUAAACAGCAGAAACGUGUUCUAAAAUAUAUCAAAUGAUUUUCUUUUUCUGCUGUUACUGCGUGGAAGGAAAGGAUGGAAAAUUUAGGAAUUGAUUUCAAACAAUAGUUUAUGAUAACCAGGGGCAUCAUCCCAAUGCAUUCCUCUUAUCAGGAACAUCGCAAUACGUGUGAGUGCAUAAUCUGGUGUAGACCUUGACUUCACCCUCAGCUGAAACCUAUCGAAUACCGCCUGAUCUAUGCAUGAUCCUGAGCCACAAUUGCGGAGUUGGGUAGAGUACAAAAUCAUCAUCCAAGCGGCCUGAUCAUCAUCGAGGAAUGCAAAUGGAGAAGGUUUUCAACCGGAGAAGAUGCGUACGAAUAUGGUAUAAACAAAGACUGCACUUCAUGGAUUAAUAGACACGAUCUUUGGCGACUCAGCGUUGGGACAUUCAUUCCGCUGUAAGAUUGCGGGUUCAAAUGCCAUGCAGUGAAAGCUUGAUUUGAAAAGUGUCUAAUUUUUUCGAUAAAAUUUGAGGCGAUAUUUUUCGCAACAAUAUGCAAGUCUAAUUACAGGCUAAUUCAAAGACUCCAAAAGGGCCUUACCUGUCAGUGGUAGGCCUACUGAAAGAUAAAAAGGCCGAAUUUCGCUCCAGUUUUCGGAACCUAUGCAUAGGUAUAAUUUCAUAGAGAAAAUAGACAGUCAUUUUGAUGUUACUUGUAUCUUGCAAAAUCCAGUUUAGUAUUGUAUACACCUAGAUGGAUUUUAAUUCUCCCAUGCCUAGUAGCUUAAUGAUCCAAACUAUUUGAUAAAGUGUAAUAGAAAUAAAUAUUCGUAAUAACCUGUAUUAUUUCUCCAUAUUUUAAGUUUUGUGCAAGUAUUGGAACGACUGUCGACAAAAGUUUCCACUUGGGUGAGCACCUCAAACUUUUACAAAGUUCGCAGAAAUGAUUUGCGCCAAAAUGGGGAAAAUGUAUGGAUUUUGCCCUUCUAACUUUUCUUAUGGCCAAACGCAUUUCCUUGAGCGCCCUCAGGUCCAACACGUUAAUUCCCUGGCGUAUCAGUGGAUGGGGGCUUGGGGUCUUGGCUGCCGAAAGUUGGACCAUGAAAAAGGGGAAAAAGAAAAAAGGGUGAAAUAUAUAGUUUCCACAUUUUCUAAAUAUAUAGCAAAGUUAGCUUUUCGCACUAAAAAUGCCAAACUUUUUGCUUACUCGCCCGGAACUUUUUUUUAGAAACUGCCCCAUGCCCAUUGUUUGAGCCCCGCAAAAUCUUUGGUUAUUAUAACACCACUGCAUUAAUCUCUUUCAUAUUUUUCCCUCGUCUUCAGCUUAGACAAAUAACUGACUUACCUCGAGUUAACAAAAUAUUCAUUCAGGUAGCAAUUACAGUUGUCCAAACAAGUUUUAAUUGUAUUUGCAUGGACUCAAU